UACGUAGGGUGCGAGCGUUGUCCGGAUUUAUUGGGCGUAAAGAGCUCGUAGGCUGUUCGAUAAGUCGGGUGUGAAACCUCCAGGCUCAACCUGGAGACGCCACCCGAUACUGUCAUGACUAGAGUCCGGUAGGGGAGCGUGGAAUUCCUGGUGUAGCGGUGAAAUGCGCAGAUAUCAGGAGGAACACCAGCGGCGAAGGCGGCGCUCUGGGCCGGUACUGACGCUGAGGAGCGAAAGCGUGGGUAGCAAACAGG
rnacentral:rRNA from 1 species